CUCAGUUACACACGGAGUGGGACGUGAAAUAAGUUUCGGGUUGUUCUGCACUAGUCUCUUAAAACUCCAGACGCCACCUCUUCGCACACACAGGAGGUUCCGAGUGUACGGCCAGCGCGUCUUUUAUACUCUCCCUUCAACAGCGCUUGCGGUGUCUACUGGUCAAAGAAACAUAUCUGUGGAGACAUCAUACUCCCUCUCCGGUGAUACUCAGACGUGAAAGUAACCUCAGAAGAGAUGUUCGGCAAUUGGGACAGAUAGAACCCCAAUGAUGUGCUGCCUGGAGCUGUGAAUGGCUUCUAUGGCCACGUCCAGAUUUCCAGCAUCUGCAGUUUUCUUUUAAGUUUCCUAAAGGAGGAAGUAACGCCGCUAAUGAGAUGGCAGAAAGAGGGGAUAGGAGGAACGUUGGAAGGCUGCGGGAGUUCUGGAGAUAGGAUAGCAUGAGGCUACUUGAUGCUAUGAGCAUGAGCUGGGGAAACUGAUACUGCAGCAUGUGCAUCAAAAGCAAAACAACAUAAGGCUGGUCCUUCAACAUGGACGACUCAUCUGUAAUGCUGAUGGUUAGAUUACUAGGAUUAGAGCCAAUCAAAGUGAGGUCUCGUACAUCUGGUCAAUGUCCAGUAAUAUGUGUUGCAACAGACACUUGAUGAGGGCAGAAUUGCUUAGCCUACUGACAC